rnacentral:tRNA from 1 species
GCCCCUGUAGUUAAACGGAUAUAACAGUGGACUUCUAAUCCAUCGUUCUAGGUUCGAUUCCUGGCGGGGGCACCA